UACAGAGGUCCCGAGCGUUGUUCGGAUUCACUGGGCGUAAAGAGCUCGUAGGUGGCUUGUCGCGUCUGCCGUGAAAGCCCGUGGCUUAACUACGGGUCUGCGGUGGAUACGGGCAGGCUAGAGGCUGGUAGGGGCAAGCGGAAUUCCUGGUGUAGCGGUGAAAUGCGCAGAUAUCAGGAGGAACACCGGUGGCGAAGGCGGCUUGCUGGGCCAGUUCUGACGCUGAGGAGCGAAAGCGUGGGGAGCGAACAGG
rnacentral:rRNA from 1 species